AGCGAACGCUGGCGGCAGGCCUAACACAUGCAAGUCGAACGAAGUCUUCGGACUUAGUGGCGGACGGGUGAGUAACACGUGGGAACGUGCCCUUUGGUACGGAAUAACUCAGGGAAACUUGAGCUAAUACCGUAUGUGCCCUUCGGGGGAAAGAUUUAUCGCCAUUGGAGCGGCCCGCGUCUGAUUAGCUAGUUGGUGAGGUAAAGGCUCACCAAGGCGACGAUCAGUAGCUGGUCUGAGAGGAUGAUCAGCCACAUUGGGACUGAGACACGGCCCAAACUCCUACGGGAGGCAGCAGUGGGGAAUCUUGCGCAAUGGGCGAAAGCCUGACGCAGCCAUGCCGCGUGAAUGAUGAGGGUCUUAGGAUUGUAAAAUUCUUUCACCGGGGACGAUGAUGACGGUACCCGGACAAGAAGCCCCGGCUAACUUCGUGCCAGCCGCCGCGGUAACAC
rnacentral:rRNA from 1 species